GAAAUAAGCUGUAAUUAAGCUCUGCCAAACAGGCACAAUAUAUUCUAACAUUCCCCCUCAAACUCAAGGAGGAUAGUGACAAACCAACUUGAGUUUGAAAAGAGUAACAAAAACGUGAAAAUAAACUGACAAAUAAGAUAAAAGAGGAUAGGAGACAUUGUAUGGUCGUGUCGAACCGCUGUAGAAGAUACUGUAUGGUGGUGUCGAACCGUUAGAGAAGACACUGUAUGGCCGUGUCUAUAUAAACCGGAAUCAAUGUCGGGACAGUUUAUGAGGUCAUGCCGAAUCGAUGUAGAAGCUAAUCGGAAUCAAUGUCGGGACAGUUUACAGGGUCAUGCCGGACCGAUGUAAAAGCUAACCGGAAUCAAUGUCGGGACAGCUUACGGGUCAUGCCGGACCGAUGUAGAAAAUACACUGUAUGAUUGUGUAUAUAGGCUGCCCAAAAGAUAUACAUGUAUAUAUAUAUCGAGCCCUUAAAAGGCGCGCCCAAUUCAUCAAAAGUCGUGCCCGACAGAAAUCGUCGAGCGGCGAGCCAUCAAAAGUCGCGCCGAACACGCAGCGAUGCACGUGAUCGACAGAGCAUCAUGUCGUCCUCUUUGCCAUUGUCUAUAUAAACCGAGGCAGAGGUUAUGCAAACCAAACUAGUCUGAAACCUCUGAACAUCUUCGUUCUGAAACACUCUGCAACCAACCCUUUCUGACAUUACUAGUAUGAAAUUGCUGUUUCUCUGAAACACUCAGCAACCCAGAACAUGACCUCUUCUUCCCGUUCAGCAACCCAGAACAUGGCCUUUUCUUCCCGUGGUCUGCUCACCCUUUUUCCAGACCUCAACGAGUCCACAAGAGAGAUAACUGGUGCGGUUGCCCUUGAACCUCAACCAAGCGCCCCUGGUUUUGCUCCAUUGAACUUUCCUAUGAUGUCUAUGGAGCAAAUAAUGGCUGCUCAAUCUGAUAUUGAGGCCAACCAUUAUACAUUAAAGUCAUGUGUGGAGACCAUGACGGCGGUCACGAACUUGGCUCACCGGCUUCAGAAUAGGACCAGUGAGGUACAUCAGGUAAAUGCCCUUGAGUAGAGAGGGAGACUGAGAAGUGUGUUUUCAAACUGCCAAAAGGGAGAGAGAGAGAGUGGAUUGAGUAAAAAUAUUAAAAAUGUUUUCAUCAUAAAAAAAAAGAAGUGAGUGGGUGAUAUUAUAUUAAGAGGUUGGGUCCAUGGAGAGAGAAGUGAGGUCAGGUUAGAGUCUUAAAGGCGGUGACCUUCUCGGCGAUGAAGUCUCAACUGUUCAUGGGAGCACCGAAGGCUAACGACGCUGUAGAGUUCUACAAGGCCGCGUUUGAGAGAGAGAGAGAGAGAGCCUAUGAGAGGGAGCUUCAGUGGUGUUCAUCGCCAUGAGAGAGAAGAGACCCUCAUCCCUCAAAUUAAUGGUGUGUUUUGGUAGCAGCACGGCAAGGGGGAAACGCCGAUCGCCACCAUAGACCAGAGGAUGAAACGCCGAUUGCGACGGGAGCGCGGCGGAGGCGUGGAAGCUCGCCGACGAGACAAUUGGUGGUGAGCCUCGCCACGUGGAGUUGUAGUCGGAGCCACCACCGAUGGCGGCGACGAACAGUGAGGAGAGAGAGAAACCCGAUGAGGAGAUUGAGGAUGUAGAUUCCAAAGAUGGAAGAGCCACUGAGCCAUCAGUUGUCGAUGACAGUGCGAAAAAACCAACCACAGGAGCAACCAGUAAGUGAAUCUGUUGAAAAGGAGGCACAAGAGCCAUAGCCAGUGGAGGUUGUUGAGAAGGAACUCGAGGUGGAGCCAAAAGAUAGGGACUGAGUCAGAGAGGUGAGCGAGUAUCGGUGGAGAAGAUCCAGUCGGUUCGAGGUGGGUUGGUGGUGAUGGGUUGACUGGGUGAGUCAAGGACAACGACUCGAAGGAGUUGGGCGUGAAGGUGGUGCUGGUAAGUGGCGGUGAUGGUGGUGUUGGUCGUAGUUCGCCAUCGCCAUUUCUGUUAGAGAUAGAGAGAGAUUGUGGUUGUCUAGUUGGAGUCAAACUCAUGCAUGGAUCAUAAAUAGCCAUGUAAAAUGGCGGCCCACCGAUGUCAAUACAACCACCAUUUUUGCCAACCCUAUAACAGAUUGCAGCACUGUUGCGGUGUGAAAAGAGCUUGUGUGCAUGUUUUCCAAAGAAAUGCUCGCCCCCUCCAACCCGAGACAGAGAGAGAGAGACCAUGUAUGUAUAUCUUUGUUACCCCAUGAGAGAGGUUUUAGUGUUAUUAGUAUAAUAUAGCAAUAAUGUAAUAUUAGUGUGCAAUAUCUAGCUGUCCAGCUUUCCCACUAAUGAUAAUGUUUCUGCUUUCGAUGUGUGUUAGUUAGUAUCCUAUGUGUACCACCUUUCCUCUCUAUAAAUGAAUGUGUUGUAAAUCACUGAAUGAUCAAUCAAUUAAAUACAUACAAUUCUCUCUAUAUUUCUCUCCUUAUACAUUGAAUUUAACAUGGUAUCAGAGCUAUAAGAUUUAGGCCUAUAUUCCUUUCUUUCCGGCGGGCAGCCGGCCGGCAACCUUGCCUUCCCUGCCCGCUGUAGUUUUUCAACACGUACCACAAACACAUACCAGAAACUCUUCUUUCUUUGUUUCCUCAUCUUUAUCGUCACUAAUUUCAUUCUCUGUGGUCUUCUCUGUCCAGAGGUAGAUUGGGUAGCUAAUGAACUCAGAGUGCUUCUUCACAAGUUCCUUCAACUUGGACAUACUCCCUGCAUUGGAGUUGGCAGAUGCAUGUUCAUCCCCAUCAAAAUCAUCAACCAUUGAAUGUGUGUGUCCAGCGAUGCAAUCGGUUUUCCCAUUUUGCGUUGUCUCAACAUGUGCAGGGGAUGCCUUAUGAUGACUUCUUUUUUGGUCUCUCAUGCUUCACAGAUCUGAUCUCAUCUUCACUUGCAUCAUCAUCAACUGCAGCCAACCUGUAUUCAUUUCUUUUUGUGGACUUCAAUUUAGAUCCACCAUUACAGUAAAGUUUGUAGACCAGUAACUCUGUCGUCUUCCGCCACCACAACGGCUACAAGUGCGGCGAGUGGCUCCAGUCCGACAAGAUUUGGUCCGGCCGCCUCCGCGUCGUCUCUUGCAAGGACCGCUGCGACACCCGCCUUGAAGAUUCCUCCUCCGGCGAGCUCUUCGCCGUUUGCUUCGUCUUUCCCAGCCAGCGUGACACCUCCAUCCGCCGCCGCACUCACGCCGUGCCGGACUUGCUUUGGUGCUACUGCUUUCUGCUUCAUUAUGUUGCGCUCCAACAUGCUGCUCCACUACUCGAAGCUUGCUUCGCCAUGGCGAGUCGAAGUGAUGAAAACAUUUUUAAUCAACCCACUCCCUCUCUCUCUGGUCCCUUUCUCUCCACCAAACCCACUUUAAUCAUAUCAAUCAUUCCCCUUACUUUAAAACCAACCUCUCUCUCUCUCUCGACUAUGAUACAGAGAAGCACACGCACAUGAAAAAAAAUAAAAAAAUAAAUAAAAAAUAAAAAUAAAAA